UACGUAGGGCGCAAGCGUUAUCCGGAAUUAUUGGGCGUAAAGAGCUCGUAGGCGGUUUGUCGCGUCUGCCGUGAAAAUCCGGGGCUCAACCCCGGACUUGCAGUGGGUACGGGCAGACUAGAGUGUGGUAGGGGAGACUGGAAUUCCUGGUGUAGCGGUGAAAUGCGCAGAUAUCAGGAGGAACACCGAUGGCGAAGGCAGGUCUCUGGGCCACUACUGACGCUGAGAAGCGAAAGCAUGGGGAGCAAACAGG
rnacentral:rRNA from 1 species